GCGACUCUCUCUACUCCAAUUUUGUUCACUUCCUCUCCUCUUCCUCCUCAUGGGACUCCUUCAUGCGGGCUGACGAGCCCAAGUCCAAAUCUCAGAUCCACCUCCAGCUCCGUGUCCGCGCCCUAUUGUUCGAAAAAGUUAGCGUCUCUCUCUUUCUUUCUUCCAAUAAUCCCUCCACUUCCUCUUCUUCGCUUGCUGUUUCAAAGCUUAAUCCGAAUUAUUUGCAGCUGCAUGGUGAUGACUUAUACUUCACUCUGGAGGACGGGG
rnacentral:misc_RNA from 1 species